rnacentral:rRNA from 1 species
UACGGAGGGUGCAAGCGUUGUCCGGAAUCACUGGGCGUAAAGGGCGCGUAGGCGGCUCAUGAAGGCUGUGGUGAAAGUCCGGGGCUCAACCUCGGAUCGGCCGUGGCGACUCGUGGGCUGGAGCACUGUAGAGGCGGGUGGAAUUCCGGGUGUAGCGGUGGAAUGCGCAGAUAUCAGGAAGAACACCAACGGCGAAGGCAGCUCGCUGGGACGGUACUGACGCUGAGACGCGAAAGCGUGGGGGAGCGAACAGG